CAGCAGCCGCGGGAACACGUAGGGUGCGAGCGUUAAUCGGAAUUACUGGGCGUAAAGCGUGCGCAGGCGGUUGUGUAAGACAGGUGUGAAAUCCCCGGGCUUAACCUGGGAACUGCGCUUGUGACUGCACAGCUAGAGUAUGGCAGAGGGGGGUGGAAUUCCACGUGUAGCAGUGAAAUGCGUAGAGAUGUGGGGGAACACCGAUGGCGAAGGCAGCCCCCUGGGCCAUACUGACGCUCAUGCACGAAAGCGUGGGGAGCAAACAGGAUUAGAUACCCCAGUAGUCCCUGUCUCUUAUACC
rnacentral:rRNA from 1 species